UUUGUUGGUUCCUCCUCCGACCACCAGGUGGCGCCUCCUGCUGUGGAUUGAGGCUGUUUGUGAGAAAGUGGAGGUGGAUCAGCUGCAGCUGACGCUGGUUUGUUGUUGUUUCUGUUGUGGCUGUACAGUGGCUCCAGAUCCAGGAUGCAGGACACUGAGUCCAGUGUCUCAUGUGGCCCUGCAGCUUCUCCUCAGAAUCCUCAGAGGCCGACUCAGAAUCACUCCCACUGGGAAGACGUGUGAAGGAAGGUCCACCCGGCCGGUCCAGGAGCUCCGGUCCAGCAGAGCAGCGUCAGGAUGGAGACGCAAGCAGGCGAGUUAACCAGAGAGCCGACACGCUCACACCGACAGCUUCCCUCCAGAUCACACUUUAUGUCUUCAACUAGGACUGGAGGUCAUUUGUUUGGAGCUAAACUCUGCUGGGUUCUUCUGUAGUCCAUCCUUUUAAUGAAAUCAGUGGUUAAACUGUGACGGAGAUGAGCUCAGCCUCCUGACGUCCACGUCAGUCUCCUUCGGUAUCUCAGCAUCGCCGACUCCCAGAACAACACCAGAAUAAUUCUCUUCAUUUACGGUGCAGUUUUGAAAAUCCAAGUGACAAAGUUCUUCACAAAAUGAAAACGAACCAUCACGAAAUGAUUAGAAUUAGAAAAUCAGAUAACAACUAUUUGGUUCAAUCUGGUUCAUUCAUGUUGAGUUUUAAAUAAAUGCAGAAUAAAUUGAUUUCCAUGAAAUAUCACAAUGUUCAGUUAGAUUUGGGUGAUUCUCCUGAUGGAACUGAACAUCACAGAUGACUAGUCCAAGUCCCAUCAGAAGGUUGAAAAAUCCAAUGGUUCCUUCUGUUUUUACAGGUUGUGACACUGGUAAACGGUGAAAACUGCUGAGCUGCUGAAAUCUCUGAGUGGAGCUCAGGAUGAAACCCUCAGAGCUGUUUUACAUAUGGUAGACACUUAGACGAAGCAGCAAAUGUGUUGGAAAGGAGUUCUGUUCUCAAAGAUGUUUUAGCAGACAGGACUUUUCCAUCAGAUAAAGACUUGUACAACCCUGGGCAAAGGUGAUGGAAUCACUGGUCCUGGAGGAUGUUCAUUCACUUUUUUCAUUUUGGAGAAAAAAAAAAAAGCACAUCACAGACAUGCCACAAAACUAGAGUUAUUUAAAAUGGAAACUUUCUGGCUUUAAGAAACACUAAAAGUAAUCAAGACCAAAAAAUUGUGACACCAAGACACCACCAGCACUUUGUUGCGCCACCUCUGGCUUUCCUAACAGCUUGCGGUCUCUGAGGACUUAACGAGUGACUCUUCAGAACUCUUCAUCAAUGUGGCUCCAACUUUCUCUGGUUGCUGUUACCAGAUCAGCUUUGCAGGUUGGAGCCUUGUCAUGGACCAUUUCCUUCAGUUUCCAACACAGAUUUUCAAUUGGAUUGAGAUCCGGACUAUCUGCAGGCCACAGCAUUGAUCUCAUGUGUCUUUUUUCCAAGGACAGUUUUCACAGUUUUUGCUCUGUGGCUCUAAGAUGCGUCAUCGUCUUGACAAAUGUCGUCAUCGUCCCCAAACAUCCUUUCAAUUGAUGGAAUAAGAAAAGUGUCCAAAAUGUCACCGUAAACUUGUGCAUUUAUUGAAGACGUGAUGACAGCCAUCCCCCCGGUGCCUUUGCCUGACAUGCAGCCCCACAUCAUCAAUGACUGUGGGAAUCUGCAUGUUUUCUUCAGGCAGUCGUCUUCAUGAAUCUCAUUGGAACGACACCAAACAAAAGUUCCAGCAUCGUCACCUUGUCCGAUGCACAUUCGCGAUUCAUCACCGAGUAGGACUUCCAUCCAGUCGUCCACAGUCCACCGUUGCUUUUCCUCAGCCCGUUGACUCCAGUUUCCACCCAUUGGUUCCUCAUUUGUUUUGCUGCAUUUUCUGUUUUCAAGACACGUUGCUUUAGGUUUUCUGUCUUGACGCUUUGACGUCUUCCUGGGUCUACUAGUAUGCUUGCCUUUUACAACCUUCCCAUGGUCCAGAUUUUAGACACAGAUGACAACAAGCAGCAUCUUUUGCAACAUUCCGUGAUGAUUUACCUUCUUGAAGAAAUUUGACGAUCCUUUCUUUUGUUUCAACGGACAUCUCUGGUGUUGGAGCCGUGAUUCAUGUCGAUCCGCUUGGUGCAGCAGCUCUCCGAGGUGUGAGCGCUCCUUUUCGACCGCAGACUAAUGAGCACAUUUAAUCAGAUGCAGGUGUUAGUUUUGGAAAUGGAAAUUUGUAGGGUGAUUCCAUCAUUUGUUCCUCAGAACUGAGUGAUUCCACCAUUUUCCCCUCUGCUUGAUCUGAAAAAGCAAUUGUUCUUGAUUACCACAUUUUUUUCUUUCUUUUUCUUUCUUUGAGUGUUUCUUAAAGCCAGAAAGUUUCCAUUUGAAAUGACUUUAAUUUUGUGGCAUGUCUGCGCUGGAAAAAAUGCCCCUCUCAACACAAGAAGAAAAAACUUGUUUCAAGGAACUUUUAAGUUGAAAUUUUUGAAAAAAUCUGCCAAUACAACAAGUGAAAAAGGGCUUGGUAAGAUUUUGUGAAAUAAGAUAUAUUUACAAUGUUCAGAUCUCAAAAUUAGCUGGGAAAACUUAUUUUCAGCUAUAUUUUACCAGCAUUGUCAAGCUUAAGUGUCUGAAAAUAAGCUGGAUAUGCUAAAAAAAAAUCAGUUUUUCACUCAAAAAUAGAUUUUCGCUUUCAUGUAACCUCCUAAUUUGAGACGUAUUAGCCCUCUUCAUUUAUCCUUAAAAAUUUCCCUUAAAAGUUUAAUUUAAAAAAAAUACCCCCAAAUUUGGCAAGAACAUUCUUGUAAAUAUUUUUUUUAAAAUCAGUAAAAGUCUUCCAAAAAAAUCCUAAAAAUAUCUAAAAUGAUUACAUGUACAUCAGUAGAACUUCUGAUAUUUUCUUUUUGAACAUUCACAGAAAAAUCAACCAAAAUCCAGCGAAAUUCACUUGAUUUUGGUUGAUUUUUAUGUGAAUAUCCUUAAAGAAACAUUUUAAAUUAUUUUUUUUCCACCAAAAAUUGUUCAAAAAUUCACCAAAAAUGUUGAAAAUGUGAACAUCUGUUGGGGAUUUUGAAUGGGGAGGAAUUGCAGUGAGAUUUUUAAAAUGGAUUGUUUGCUGUUCUCUCCCAUUUGUGACAUGAAGAAGGUGACUUGUGUGGCUUUGAAAUUGUGCUAAAAUGUCAAAAUGAGUGAUCAGGAGAAGAGUGUGACUUUUUGAAUUGUGUUUUUUUAGCAUGUUCUUUAAAAGUCAUAGACACAUUAGCUUGUGUCUAUGAGUUUUAAAUCUUUUGGAGAUUGUGUUUUUUUUUUUCUUUUCGUGUUCAGGUGAUCUCCUUGUGGAAUAGAAGAAAACCCUGUAUUUAGGCAUGAAGUGCCUGCAGUCCAGAGGUAGUGUCAGUGGUUGGAGACUUGGAGAGCAGGGUUUGAUACCCUACCCUGGUGAAGCUUUUUCUUAAAUUUGGGCCAAAAAUCGGAAAAAAAAAAAAAUGCAAAUAGAGUGAACUUCCCCCCCCCUCCCAUCUUCUUCCCCUUCCCUUCUGGUCCAUGUCACCCUCGCUUUCUCUGUCACCACCCUUCCAGUUGUCAUUUACCCAUUUGUGCUACUCCUUGUUUCCCAGACUUUGGUUCCAGUGGUCCUUUAUCCCAUUUGUGUUAUUCCUUGUUUUCCAGACUUUUGUUCCAGUUGUUGUUGCUCCCAUUUGUGUUACUCCUUGUUUGUGAUUAGUCCUUGGAUUUGAACCGACAACGCUCCUCAUCAGAGUCCGCUACCGUACCGCUUGGCUAUUGUGGUCCGUACUGACUUAUAGCUUUAUUUUCAUUUUAUCACGUAAAGCAUGGUACUGAACACGUCCAAAAAGGUUCUCAGUCAGGAUUUGAACCGUGGAGCUGCCAUAUGACAGCCACAGAACUUAUGUUUACGUUAUCUGUCACGCAAGGUCUCUGGUAGAGUUUGUCUUAAUGAUGGUACCAAGAGGUUCUCAGUCAGUCAAAAGACAAAAACACCUUUGAGCUGGAUUUGAACCAAGAACCUUCUGGUGUAAAGGCACAAAACUUACCACUGCACCAUCCGUCUUACAAAGUGUAGUGCUUAGUUUUCUCAGAUGAUGGUAAAAAGAAGUAUUAAAGAGGUCAAAGUACAAAUAAAAGGGCCAGAGGGGGAUUUGAACCCUAAACCUUCAACAUUAGAGGCACAUAACUUACCUCUUGCACCACCUGUUUUAGACUAGCUGGCUUUUCGAUUUCUUAAAUGAUGAUACAAAGAAGUAUUGACGAGAUCAAAAUAGCAAAGAUCUCAAGGGGAAUUUGAACCACAAACCUUCAACAUGAGAGACACAAACUUUAUCGCUGCACCAUCUUUCCCGCAAAAAUUGGCUCUAACUUUGCUUAAAUAAUGGUACCAAUUAAUAUUUGCGAGGACAAAGUAGAAAUAAAUGUCCGUGGAGGGAUUUGAAGCAUAAACCUUCGACAUGAGAGGUGCAAAACUAACCUUUUUGCCAUCUUCCCCAUAAGAUAGUCCAUUGAGUUUAUUGUAAUGAUGGCACCAAGAGAUUCUCAAUCAUCCAGAGAACUAAAAGAGUCUUCAGCUGGAUUUAAACCGUAUACCUCCUGGACGAGAAGCACAUAACUUAUCUCUGCAUCAUCUGUCUUACAAAGUGUAGCUCUCAGUUUUCUUAAAUGAUGGUACAAAGAAGUAUUAAAGAGGACAAUGCACAAAUAAAAAGUCUUGAGGUGGAUAUGAACCACAGACCUUCGACAUGAGAGGCAUAAAACUUACCUCUGCACCAACCAUCCCACCUGUUACAGCCGUAACUGUGCUUAAAUGAUGGUACCAGUUUGUUCUGGUGAGGACAAAAGCUCUGCAGGGAGAUUUUAAACGACAAACCUUCAACAUGAGAGACACAGAUCUUAUCUCUGCACCGUCUUUCCCACAAAAAUUGGCUCUAACUUUGCUUAAAUAAUGGUACCAAUUAAUAUUUGCAAGGACAAAGUCGAAAUAAGUGUCCAUGGGGGGAUUUGAAUCAUAAACCUUCAACAUGAGCAGCACGAAACUCACCACUGCACCAACUUUCCCACAAAGCGUAGCUCUAACUUUGCUUAAAUAAUGGUACCUAUUAAUAUUUGCGAGGACAAAGUACAAAUAAAUGUCCGUGGGGGGAUUUGAAGCGUAAACCUUCGACAUGAGAGGCAUAAAACACACCUGUACAUCAACUUUCUCACAAGCUGCAUGUGUAACAAUGCUCAAAUGAUGGCACCAGUCAGUAUUGGCGAGGCCAAAGGAAAAACAAAAGGUCUGAAGGGAGGUUUCCGGUACCUGGCUGAUCUUCUCUGGAAACAAGUGCAGAGCCGCUGACAUACUGGGCCACCCACAAAACCGUUUCCCCAAACCUGUGUAAUGUAGCCAAACAGCCAGCCUCAUUUGUGCGAUGUGAACGGAUUUUUUCCGAGGCGAGGGAAAUAGUCUGUCAAAGAAGAAACCGCUCGAGUCUGAUAACUGUGGAUAAACUGUUUCUUAAUUAAAACUCAUGACCAGUUCCAUAAGCACACCCUCUUUACCAGUGAACCCCAAGACAUACUACCAAAAUCCAUAAAAUAAUCUGUAUUUUUGUCUCGACUGCACUUGAUUUUAUUGACCACUAGAUGUCCUACUGGAGCUCUGUGUGUUUGAGUUCCUGUGUUGAAGAGUUGCGACAACUGGGGAUUUGACGCCAUUUUGUUUCCAUUCACUAUGUCACACCCUAAUACACCCGUGACUGUGUGUGUACUCGCUUAGCGCGUGCGCUAUGUGUUUUAUUUGGAUUUUUACAUUCUAAGCUUUCUAGUCAUCGUUCAAAAGUAAAAAAAAGGAUGAUUUCUUAUCAAUAAUAAUGAUUUUUAUUUUUUUUACAAUUUAGAGGACAGAUUUGUGUAUGAAGACAGGAGAAACGGUAAGGGGGAAGGGACACUUAUGUAGACUUAUUUGAGCAAUGCGAAAUAAUUUACUUCGGCAUUCUGGUAUAUCCCCCCCCCCCAUCUCCUUCAUUAUUCUUUCUUUUUACCUUCUCUCUCUUUAACUAUCUCUCUUCAUCCCUCUCAUCUCGUGUUCAUAUCAUCUCAUCUUAUAUAGGUUCUCUCCAUCGUCUCAUCUUACAUCUUAUCUUUUUUUCAUUUAUCUUCAUCUCAACUUUUUUCUUCUCUCUUCUCAUCUUCAAGCUAUUUCAUGUUUCUAUCCCUUCAUCUUAUCUCCCAUCUCCCUCUUUUCAUCUCCCUCUCUCUCUCUCUUCAUAUAUCUUUUCACCUCUCUUAUCUAUUUUCAUCUCUCUCAUGUUCAUCUCAUAACAUGAAAGUACAUACAUGGGACUAACCUGGCACAAAAACGAUGAUGAAGUCGGUUUCCACCCCACUCUCCGGACUUUAUUUUCCCAUUUUCCUUCUUUCACGAUCACUGGGAAACCUAAACAUGUGGAAUCCCUUCUCUGACCGAUUUGUGCACCCAAAGGCACAACAGCCCGUCAUUUUUCAUGGAAUUUAGGAAGCGUUGGAAGACCUGGAAUUACUCUCUGCAGUGUAAACAACGUUAACAGGAAAACCCGGCGUUUAUUAACUGGAAACAAAAUGGCGCCCAUAGAUCACGUGACCAAAAUUUUCGGACCCGUCAUGUCGCCACUGUUAUAUACAGGUACUCUAAUUUUCAUGUAUAGGAGUUUCGACUUCCCUUUUUAUGCAAGAAUAAAAGCAUCAACACACAUUAGGAAAUUAAAGUGAAUUUUUCUAAAACAACUCUAAAAAAAAAUACAGUUCAUAAAAUACUGAAGACAACUGUAGAACGACUCUUUUAUUUUUAAAAAGAAAUGUUUUAAGUCACUUGUAGCUUUGCCUGAAACACAAUCACCUCCAAUUUCAUGUAUUUUUCUUUUUAAUUCCUUUUUAUAAAUCAGAAUGGUAUAUUAUGCAUGCAAUACCGCAUUAGCCGCUUAGGUUUUCAUCUUCCACAGAAAGAAACGAACAAACAAAAGAAACAGAUCAACACAAAAAAAUCCCUUAAAAGUCCAGAUGAAGCUGCUUGGAAAAGGGUGGUUGGAGAAGCCACAGCAUGAAGCGAUGUACACAGUUUGCGGUUGCAUAGUACAGUACAUGAAGUUCCUCAUUUUAAACCAGCAUGCCGCUUUGUAUUGCACAUUACUGAAACUUUGUAUACUGGACCUUGCUGUUGUCCCAGGAGUCCCACAUGGGUUGUCGUCGUCUCAUUUCAGCACAUGUAUACAGCAAAUAGCAUCUCUCAAAGACAUUAUGUACAUUUAUUUGUUAUAAAAAUAAUCGCCAGCAAAUAUUCAUCUAUUACUUUACUACUGGAAUAAAUGUUUGUUCUUAUACUUCUUUUCGUCUUUUUUUUUUUUUUUUUUUUUUUACAUUUU